GACGAACCGUGCGAACGUUAUUCGGAAUCACUGGGCCUAAAGCGCGUGUAGGCGGGUCGGUGCGUCGGCCACUGAAAGCCCCCGGCUCAACCGGGGAAGGGGUGCCGAAACGACCGGCCUGGAGGGACGUAGGGGGACCUGGAACUUCCGGUGGAGCGGUGAAAUGCGUUGAGAUCGGAAGGAACGCCCGUGGCGCAAGCGGGGUCCUGGACGUCUGCUGACGCUGAGACGCGAAAGCUAGGGGA
rnacentral:rRNA from 1 species